UACGUAGGGUGCAAGCGUUGUCCGGAAUUAUUGGGCGUAAAGAGCUCGUAGGCGGUUUGUUGCGUCGGCUGUGAAAUCCCGAGGCUCAACCUCGGGUCUGCAGUCGAUACGGGCUAGCUAGAGUGUGGUAGGGGAGAUCGGAAUUCCUGGUGUAGCGGUGAAAUACGCAGAUAUCAGGAGGAACACCGGUGGCGAAGGCGGAUCUCUGGGCCAUUACUGACGCUGAGGAGCGAAAGCGUGGGGAGCGAACAGG
rnacentral:rRNA from 1 species